AAUUUUGAACAAUGGGGGAAACCCUGAUCCAGCCAUCCCGCGUGUAUGAUGAAGGCCUACGGGUUGAAAAGUACUUUUGGCAGAGAAGAAAAGGCAUCCCCUAAUACGGGAUGCUGCUGACGGUAUCUGCAGAAUAAGCACCGGCUAACUACGUGCCAGCAGCUGCGGUAAUACGAAGGCUGCAAGCGUUAAUCGGAAUUACUGGGCGUAAAGCGGGUGAAGGCGGUUCGGAAGGAAGGAAGAGAAAUCCAAGCGCACAACCUUGAACCUGCAUUUUUAACUGCGGAGCAGGAUAAUGCCGAAGGGGGUAGAAUUCCACGUGUAGCAGUGAAAUGCGUAGAUAUGUGGAGGAAUACCGAUGGCGAAGGCAGCCCCCUGGGAUAAUACUGACGCUCAGACACGAAAGCGUGGGGAGCAAACAGG
rnacentral:rRNA from 1 species